rnacentral:rRNA from 1 species
AUGGUGCACUUCAGGGCUCGCCGAAGCGCACCGGAGCUGGUGGCGCCGGCGCGGCCGACGCCCCACGAGGCCAAGACGCUCUCCGACAUCGACGACUUCUCCGAGUGCCGGUACUACGCCUCCGCGAUCGACUUCUUUAGCCACGACCCGACGGUGGACAACCUCCACCCAGCCAGAUCAAUCGUGGCGGCCCUGGCAGAGGCGCUUGUUUACUACCACCCGAUCGCUGGCCGCCUCCGGGAGAUCCCCGGCGGCAAGCUCGUGGUUGACUGCACUGGCGAAGGGGUGGUGUUCGUGGAGGCCGACGCCGACGUGUCGCUCGAGGAGCUCGGCGGGCAGCCCCCCUAUCCGUGCGCCGAGGAGUUUGUCUGCGCUGGCGUGGUCGAGGGCGGCAGUGGCGCCGUCGUCGUAGUUGGCCGACCGCUCUUCUACAUGCAGGUGACGAGACUAAAAGACGGUGCAUUUGUGCUGGGUUUCCAAGUGUGCCAUGUCAUCGCCGACGCCGCCGGCGUGACGCAGUUCAUCGGGGCGAUAGCCGAGUUGGCACGCGGCGAAGCACAUCCGUCCGUAUCGCCAGUGUGGGAGAGGGAGAUCUUCAAGGCGCGUGACCCACCUCGCGUCCGGCAUGGUGUCUACCCAGCGUAUGACCCAUCGUCGCCAAGUAGAACUGUCCUCGGUGACCACGACGACGUUGACGAUCCUAUGCUGUCGACGCCGACGGAAGAAAUGGUUGGGCGAUACCUGCGCUUUGGCCCGAAGGAGGUCGCCGCUCUACGAAUGCAUCUGGAUGCGGCGCAGCCAUGCACGACGUUCGAGCUCUUAACUGCUUUCCUGUGGAGAUGCCGCACGGCGGCGCUGGGCUACCGUUCCUGGCAACGCGUCCGGCUCGUGUUGCGUGUGGACGCGCGUGGCAACCGCCGGUGCAAGCUCGACCCGCCGAUCCCGAGAGGGUACUACGGCAACGCCGUCCUCCGGCCGAUGGCAGAGGCCGGAGUCGAGGAUCUCUGCAGCAGGCCUCUGGGGCACGCUGUAGGGCUCGUGCGGAAGGCGAAGCUCUGCGCCACGGAGGAGCACUUCAGGUCCAUGGUGGACAUGAUGGCGUCGGCGCGCAUGGCCGAGCGGUUGGUAGCGAGUCGGCGAGUGUUCCAUGUGUCUGACCUCACUCGGCUCGGGCAGGCGGAUAAAUUUAAUUUUGGUUGGGCCAGAAGGGUUGGUGGUGGGUUGCCGAGGAUAGGGAUCUCAAGCUUUCUCAUGGCUUGCAAGAACGAGCAUGGCGAGGACACAAUUGUAGUGCCCAUGUUAUUGCCCAGACAUGCCACGGAGAGGCUGGCAAAGGAGAUAUCCAUGUGGGUUGGAGAUAAGUUUGUUAUACGCAGCUCCAUGUGA